rnacentral:rRNA from 1 species
GAUGAACGCUGGCGGCGUGCCUAAUACAUGCAAGUAGAACGCUGAAGGAGGAGCUUGCUCUUCUGGAUGAGUUGCGAACGGGUGAGUAACGCGUAGGUAACCUGCCUGGUAGCGGGGGAUAACUAUUGGAAACGAUAGCUAAUACCGCAUGACAACAGUUAUUGCAUGAUAACUGUUUAAAAGGGGCAACUGCUCCACUACCAGAUGGACCUGCGUUGUAUUAGCUAGUUGGUGAGGUAACGGCUCACCAAGGCGACGAUACAUAGCCGACCUGAGAGGGGGAUCGGCCAAACUGGGACUGGGACACGGCCCAGACUCCUACGGGAGGGAGCAGUAGGGAAACUUCGGCAAUGGACGGAAGUCUGACCGAGCAACGCCGCGUGAGUGAAGAAGGGUUUCGGAUCGUAAAGCUCUGUUGUAAGGGAAGAACGAGUGUGAGAGUGGAAAGUUCACACUGUGACGGUAUCUUACCAGAAAGGGACGGCUAACUACGUG